rnacentral:lncRNA from 1 species
CCAGGGUCACUCAGUUCAGAAAGUGUCUGAGGUUAAAUUUGAACCCAGGACCUCUCAUCUCUAUUUAUUGAGCCACUUAGCUGCCCCAAUAAUAGUAAAUUUACCACAUUUAGAAAUCCUCCUAGCUCUAGGAAUAACUACAGGCUCUUAGCCCACAGCCAGUAUCUUCCAGUAGCCAUUGGGAGCUUCAGUGUGUGCAUGUUGGAGACUCUCUCUGCUGCCUUUAGUCCUUGCCCUCCCUUUCUUUCCUCAGGAUCCAGAGUGGAGAGGGAGAAGGAAGAAGAGGAGGAAGAGAAAGGAAGAAGAGAAAGGAGGAAGAGGAAGAAGAGAAAAAAAGAAGAAGCAAAAGGUGGGAGAGAGGAGGAAGAGGAGAAAAAGGAAGGAUGAAGAAUAGAAAAAGGAGGAAGAGGAAGAAGAGAAAAAAGAAGAGGAAGGAGGAAGAAGAAGAGAAAGGAAAAAUAGGAACAAGAAAAGAAAAAGGAAGAAGAGAAAGAAUAUUUAUGGGUGUGUGAUUUGGAGUUCAGGCCUUAAAAAAUCAAUCUAUAGCAAAAAUGAAUAAUAUGGAAAUAGGUAUCAAGUGACAACAUUUGUACAAUCCAGUAGAAUUACUUGUCCGCUUUGGGAGGGGGGAGGGAAAAGGGAAGGGAAAGAAAACAAAUCAUGUAAAAAUGGAAAAAUAUUUUAAAAUAAAGUGAAAAAAUUUGUUAAAAAGGAAGAGAAAGGAGGAAGAUGAAGAGAAAGGAGGAGGAAGAAGAGAAAAAGGAAGAAAGAGAGGAAGAGGAAGAAGAGAGAAAGGAAGAGAAGAAAAAGGAGGAGGAAGAAGAGAGAAAGGAAGAAAGCACCCAUUUUGGGCUGGUCCUUGCCGAGGCUUCAGAAUCUUUUCCCCUCUACACAUGCACACCCCUGCCAUGUUUUUGUCUUCUGAUGCAAUGAUUUUUAAAAACACAUAGUGAUUCAAAGGAAGCCAAUUAUAUUGAAAUAAUUAUCAGUAUAUAUAUUUUAAGUUUACAGGCCUCAGGUUAAGAACUUCUGGCUUUAGACGAUCUCUAAUUAAAUUCUGCUCACAAGAGGUAGCCCGGUGACUCAGCUGAAAGAGCCAAGCCUAGAAAUGAGAGGUCCUGGGUUCAAAAUUGACCUCAGUUCCUAGCUAUCUGAAGUUACUUAACUCUGAUUGCCCAGCCCUUACCGAUCUUGUUUCUGCCAGGAAUCAAUUGAAUCUAAAAUGGAAGGUAAGGGUUUAAAAAAAAUUUUUUUUUGUUCAACAGAUAUUUUAUCCCUAAGGUCUUUUCUACUUUUAAUGCUCAGAGAGGGACCAAAGGUCAGGGGCUAGACAACCUUGAGGAGCCAGAAUAAAGGUCUGGGAGAUUGGAGCCA